rnacentral:rRNA from 1 species
UACGAAGGGGGCUAGCGUUGUUCGGAUUUACUGGGCGUAAAGCGCACGUAGGCGGAUCGUUAAGUCAGGGGUGAAAGCCCAGAGCUCAACUCUGGAACUGCCUUUGAAACUAGAGGACUUGGGUACGGGAGAGGUGAGUGGAAUUCCGAGUGUAGAGGUGAAAUUCGUAGAUAUCGAGAGGAACACCGGUGGCGAAGGCGGCCUUCUGGACAGUGACUGACGCUGAGACGCGAAAGCGUGGGGAGCGAACAGGA